rnacentral:rRNA from 1 species
GAUGAACGUUGGCGGUGUGCCUAAUACAUGCAAGUCGAACGGAGACAGUAGCAAUAUUGUCUUAGUGGCGAACGGGUGAGUAACGCGUUGGUGACCUGCCCCGAAGUGUGGAAUAACAGUUCGAAAGAAUUGCUAAUACCGCAUGUGAUCUUUGAGAUUAGAACCUCUUUGAUUAAAGGAUUUAUUCGCUUCGGGAGGGGCCUGCGUCCCAUCAGCUAGUUGGUAGGGUAAAAGCCUACCAAGGCGAUGACGGGUAGGGGACCUGAGAGGGUGGCCCCCCACAAUGGAACUGAAACACGGUCCAUACACCUACGGGUGGCAGCAGUAGGGAAUAUUAGUAAUGGGCGAAAGCCUGAACUAGCAACACCGCGUGCGCGAUGAAGGCCUUCGGGUCGUAAAGCACUUUUCGGGAGGAUGAGGAAGGACGGUACUCCCGGGAAUAAGUCUCGGCUAACUACGUG